UACGGAAGGCAGCAGGGGGGAAUUUGGACAAUGGGCGCAAGCCUGAUCCAGCCAUGCCGCGUGAGUGAAGAAGGCCUUCGGGUUGUAAAGCUCUUUCGGCCGGGAAGAAAUCGGCGACUCUAACAUAGUCGCUGGAUGACGGUACCGGACUAAGAAGCACCGGCUAACUACGUGCCAGCAGCCGCGGUAAUACGUAGGGUGCGAGCGUUAAUCGGAAUUACUGGGCGUAAAGCGUGCGCAGGCGGUUUUUGUAAGACAGAUGUGAAAUCCCCCGGGCUUAACCUGGGAACUGCGUUUUGUGACUGCAAGGCUAGAGUACGGCAGAGGGGGUGGAAUUCCUGGUGUAGCAGUGAAAUGCGUAGAGAUCAGGAGGAACACCGAUGGGCGAAGGCAGCCCCUGGGCCUGUACUGACGCUCAUGCACGAAAGCGUGGGGAGCAAACAGGAUUAGAUACC
rnacentral:rRNA from 1 species